AUCGCGGCUUCCAGGCUUGGCCAUGUCUAACCGUCUCAAGUGGUUUCUGAAGGAGGGCUGCAGGCCAAAAAACCUAACAUUUUGGUGCCAAAACCCAGGACCAGGAGAGGAGACCAAAUCUCCAUCAGAAAUGUCGGAACCCACUUGCCUAACUUUGGCACCAACACCAGCGAAUCUCCUCCAGAUGUGACUUAAUCAACUGUGAGUGAAACGUCUGAUUGGAUAAUUUCC